rnacentral:rRNA from 1 species
GACGAACGCUGGCGGCGUGCUUAACACAUGCAAGUCGAACGGAAAGGCCCUGCUUGCAGGGUACUCGAGUGGCGAACGGGUGAGUAACACGUGGGUGAUCUGCCCUGCACUUCGGGAUAAGCUUGGGAAACUGGGUCUAAUACCGGAUAGGACCGCACUUUAGUGUGUGUGGUGGAAAGUUUUUUCGGUGUAGGAUGAGCUCGCGGCCUAUCAGCUUGUUGGUGGGGUAAUGGCCUACCAAGGCGGCGACGGGUAGCCGGCCUGAGAGGGUGUACGGCCACAUUGGGGCUGAGAUACGGCCCAGACUCCUACGGGAGGCAGCAGUGGGGAAUAUUGCACAAUGGGCGCAAGCCUGAUGCAGCGACGCCGCGUGGGGGAUGAAGGCCUUCGGGUUGUAAACUCCUUUCGCUAGGGACGAAGCUUUUUGUGACGGUACCUAGAGAAGAAGCACCGGCUAACUACGUG